rnacentral:lncRNA from 1 species
UAAGAUUUUAUAUGGAGUAGCAAUUAUAUCAUACAUUGAUUGAGGUUGUGGUGGUUCAUCCUUUGAUGGGAUGACUGCCUUGAGUAUUUUGCUUUUGCCAGGUGGAUGUGUACUAGCAGUAGUAGUACCAUCCGUACUUAGAUAUGUUUUUUCUUCCAAUGUUUGGAGUUUAUCAAAUGAAGGGAUAUGGAGUUUAUUUUGAUAAUUUCUUAUUAACUAGUGAAAAUAUCCUUCUGUUUCCCUUUGUUUUUUAAGAAAUUUAUUAUAUUUAGCCUGUAAUUGUUUUCUUAAUUGUAAUGGUACUUUUGUAAGAUACCAUUGUCUUAUUUGUUUAUUUUCUUC